AAAUUUUAAAAUACAAAUUUUGAAAUACAAAAUACACAUUAAAAAUAAGUUAAAUGAUAUAUGUAUUUAUACACAAAUUUAUAGUAGAUAAUUUGAUAGCUAGUUUUUUAUGUAAACGUAAUAUUUUUAUUAUAAAAAUUAUUAUCAUGUUAUAUAUAUUUUGCCCCCACUAUCAAAAUUUUCUGGAUCCGUCACUGCAUAAGACAUUAGACAUAUACAAUUAAAAUAAAAACAUAUUAUAGUUUAAUUUUUUAAUAAUACUACUUAUUCAUUUCUAUUAAUUUUAUAAGAGAUUAAGAUGAAAAUUCAGGUGAAGUCGACUUCACGUGAAUCUCAACUUCACCUGAGAUUAAUCAUUUGAUCUAAUGAUAAAGAGAGGGUGCAAGAAUAAAGCUUCCAAGCACGUAUUUCUCGGAUGGCUGAAUACCCAACCGUACCCAAUACUUAUUAGUCUCUUCAGUGGUUCCAUUGCUGGCCAACAGCACAAGCUUGUAGCUGUUGCCUAAAAAACCGUGUACCUGCCUAUUGCAACUUUCGAUCUUUACUAGCUUUAGAUUCGCGUUAGAUUUGUGGUUGUACUCUGUGAUUGCGAAAUUCGCAAUCUCCAUCACACGGGGGGAUCAUUGACGUCCAUGGGUUGUACGUACAUCAGAGCAAAGGCGG